AACGAACGCUGGCGGCGUGGAUAAGACAUGCAAGUCGAGCGAUUGUUAACGGGUAGCAAUAUCGGUUAACGAGAGCGGCGCAAGGGUGCGUAACACGUGGGCAAUCUGCCGUGAAGUUUGGGAUAAUCCCGCGAAAGCGGGACUAAUACCGGAUGUGACAGACUGGUGGCAUCACUGGUUUGUCAAAGUUGGGGACCGCAAGGCCUGACGCUUCAUGAUGAGCCCGCGGCCUAUCAGGUAGUUGGCGGGGUAACGGCCCACCAAGCCUAAGACGGGUAGCUGGUCUGAGAGGACGACCAGCCACACUGGAACUGAGACACGGUCCAGACACCUACGGGUGGCAGCAGUCGAGAAUUUUUCACAAUGGGGGAAACCCUGAUGGAGCGACGCCGCGUGGGGGAUGAAUGGCUUCGGCCCGUAAACCCCUGUCAUUUGCGAGCAAAGCGCAUUAUUUAAAAGAUGAUGUGUUGAUAGUAGCGGAAGAGGAAGGGACGGCUAACUCUGUG
rnacentral:rRNA from 1 species